rnacentral:rRNA from 1 species
GACGAACGCUGGCGGCGUGCUUAACACAUGCAAGUCGAGCGGUAAGGCCCUUUCGGGGUACACGAGCGGCGAACGGGUGAGUAACACGUGGGUGACCUGCCCUCAGCUCUGGGAUAAGCCUGGGAAACCGGGUCUAAUACCGGAUAUGACUCCAUGACGCAUGUUGUGGGGUGGAAAGCCUUGUGCGGCUGAGGAUGGGCCCGCGGCCUAUCAGCUUGUUGGUGGGUGAUGGCCUACCAAGGCGACGACGGGUAGCCGGCCUGAGAGGCGACCGGCCACACUGGGACUGAGACACGGCCCAGACUCCUACGGGAGGCAGCGAGGUGGGGAAUCUUGCGCAAUGGGCGAAAGCCUGACGCAGCGACGCCGCGUGA